UACGGAGUCUCUAGAAAUAAAAUGUGUUUCUCUGCGUCCGCCCUGUUAGUGAUUUUUUUCUUGAAUAUGAGCUCGCAGCAGCCAGCGUCAUCUCACAAGAUCCUCGGGUGCCGAGAAUGUCAAACAACUGACGAAAGUGAAGUCUUGGUAUGAUUGAUGAUUGCUCAUUUUUAUGUCUAUUUUUUAAUGCCUGGCUUGAGAUCGACUGACACGCCCUCCGAGAUCGACCAGUCGAUCGCGAUCGACGUAAUGAGCACUCCUGAUGUAAACAAACUGUUGUGUCACAGUCCACACUAUGUUUUACAGCGCUGGAAUCUUGACAACCUGUUAUCAUCUGGCUGCUAAACUUGCAGAAGAGGCAUUAAGAGAAGAGUUGCCUGGACAGAGGAUGGAAAAGGAGCCAUAAUUGUACUCAAGUGCACCAUAGACCAUUGCACAUCUGGCUGCCAGUAAGACAGAGCACAUUUGAGAGGGUCGCCUGAGCGGCAGCGAUCAAAGAGAAAGAUGGAGGUUAACUGACCAGACCUGAGAACCUCCACAGAAGGACCUGAGGGACUCGUCUCUGUUAGCCCAGUACCCACACCCUCCCCACAAAAGAGUUUUACGCCAACACCGACUUCAGUUCUGUCACAAAGACAUUCCUCGCUAUAAUACGGAAGUCCUAAAAAGAAUCUGGCAGAUACUUUCCCUAAUAUCAAUGGGUAGAUAACAGACUGAGCUUGGGAUGCCCCCUUUUCCAUCGCCAAACUUGAUAUGCCACCUCGUCUUGAUGUGACAUCAUCUACAGACCUAAAGCCCAUUUCUCUGCAUAGACAGUGUGGAUAAAACCUCAACAAUUAUUUAAAACCAUAUAUGUAUUAUAAUUACAUUGUACGUUACUAUCACUUAAUUGCAUGUUAAUUGCAUUGGUCCAUGAUUACUUCAAAACUGAUGUGGUUAAAAUUAUGAGCAAUAAAUAGAUAUAAAAUAAUCUGGAAAUAUAAUGUGGUAUUGAACUUUACACAAGUUUGGACAAACAAGAUUUUGCAUUCAAAUUCUCCAGACAGAGAAGCUGUAGAAGGCCAAUUAGCCCCCAUUUGCAGAAUUGAACUGUAUUGUUUCAAGCCUCAGGCCGAGGAGGAGUGGACCAAUCCUGAUCGGGCCUUUCAUUUCCUCAAGCAAUUUGAAGAAAACCUCAGUAGAAAAGGACGCAAAAUAGAACUUUAAUGGCUUACCUUCUUUUAUUCUCGUUUUUGAGCACUGGUCUCUCUCUCCUCGCAGGUGCUCCUAAUUUUCAGAUUACAUCUGGCUUAAGUUUUAAUUUGUUUCUAUCCAAACUACGACCAUAAACCAUCGUCUUCUAAGUCACAAUCAACAAAAUGAUUGCUGCAAACUACAUUUCUCUUGCUUAGUUUGUCACAUUUAAUGCGAGUCAAUCUGACUGGAGAGGUCGAUAGUUUUCACAUAUUUCCAUCAUUUAGAAAUGCAUGCGGGCUGACCUAUCAUUUAGUUGUAUUGCUACAACUUGUUGCAAUGCAUCUGGCAGACAUAUUUCAUCACUCCUUCAAAUUCUGUAAGAAAAUAACAUAACUUGGAAUGAAGACGCGCCCAAAACACGUACUACGCAAUAUAAAAUUGCUUCCAGUCCUCUGUAAGUGACAUCAGCAGGCUGAUGUAGGCUCGGACACAUGGAGCUAAAAGUGGGCCUUCCAAAAUGCGCUCAAGUUCGUCAGAAAACAAGCCUAAAAUCAUUAUGUUUUUGAGUGCCAGGUCAGUUAAUUUUUUCCCAGUUUCUCUUCGGUUUUGUCCGGUUCUGACUCAGUCUUUUUCCCCUCCAAGGUGCUCCUAAUUGUCCUAAUGUGGGGAUUUUACCUGUAGAAAUUUCUUUUAAUACCAGAACUAUGAAAUAAGUGCUUAUGUUGUCAGCAUUAGAGGGGUCAUUUAAGAGGAUAAAAUAAUAAAGAAACUAAUUCACUUUGAGUAAAAAUGUUGUUCUCAAAUACUUCUUAAUCGUUUUAGGUUAUUUUUCUAAUAAAAUCUGAA